rnacentral:rRNA from 1 species
GGGGUCAGUAGGUUGGUCGUGCCACCGGUACGUACUGGUCUCACUGAUUCCUCCUUCCUGAAGAACCGUAAUGCCAUUAAUUUGGUGUUGCGGGGAAACAGGACUGUUACUUUGAAAAAAUUAGAGUGUUUAAAGCAAGCUAACGCUUGAAUACAUUAGCAUGGAAUAACGAAAUAGGACGAUCGAUCCUAUUUUGUUGGUUUCUAGGAUUGACGUA